UACGUAAGUGGCGAGCGUUAUCCGGAAUUACUGGGCGUAAAGCGUGCGCAGGCGGUUUUGUAAGCCAGAUGUGAAAUCCCCGGGCUCAACCUGGGAAUGGCAUUUGGGACUGCAAGGCUGGAGUGCGGCAGAGGAGACUGGAAUUCCUGGUGUAGCAGUGAAAUGCGUAGAUAUCAGGAGGAAUACCGAUGGCGAAGGCAGGUCUCUGGGCUGACACUGACGCUCAUGCACGAAAGCGUGGGGAGCAAACAGG
rnacentral:rRNA from 1 species